ACCGUUUGCCUUUGGUUCAGUGGUAGAAUGCUCGCCUGCCACGCGGGCGCCCCGGGUUCGAUUCCUGGCCGAUGGUU
rnacentral:tRNA from 1 species